GAUGAACGCUGGCGGCGUGCCUAAUACAUGCAAGUCGAGCGAAUGGAUUAAGAGCUUGCACUUAUGAAGUUAGCGGCGGACGGGUGAGUAACACGUGGGUAACCUGCCCAUAAGACUGGGAUAACUCCGGGAAACCGGGGCUAAUACCGGAUAACAUUUUGAACCGCAUGGUUCGAAAUUGAAAGGCGGCUUCGGCUGUCACUUAUGGAUGGACCCGCGUCGCAUUAGCUAGUUGGUGAGGUAACGGCUCACCAAGGCAACGAUGCGUAGCCGAAAUGAGAGGGGGAUAGGCCACACGGGGACUGAGACACGGCCCAGACUCCUACGGGAGGCAGCAGUAGGGAAUCUUCCGCAAUGGACGAAAGUCUGACGGAGCAACGCCGCGUGAGUGAUGAAGGCUUUCGGGUCGUAAAACUCUGUUGUUAGGGAAGAACAAGUGCUAGUUGAAUAAGCUGGCACCUUGACGGUACCUAACCAGAAAGCCACGGCUAACUACGUGCCAGCCGCCGCGGUAA
rnacentral:rRNA from 1 species